CCACCAUGUGGUUGCUGGGAAUUGAACUCAGGAUAUGUGGAAGAGCAGUCAGUGCUUAGAAUCGCUGAGCCAUCUCUCCAGCCCCAGAACAAUUACUUACAUGAAGGGCAAUGUGGCUACAUGAGAUGCACUUCACCACCAAAGACACACAGCCUAAAGUAGAAGAUGGGCCUGUGCCUGGUUAGCCUUAUCUGCAGCUUGACUUCGGUCAUGGCUUGUGGGCAUGCCUGUGGGGGUUUGACUUGGUGACUGCUCCUUCAUCCUGCAGGAUCCAGUUUACUGUGGGGAGCAACGGUUCCUGGGCAGGUGAUCUUCCACUGUAUAAAAAGCCAGAUAAAGAAAGAGAUAGCUCAGCAGCCGGGCGUGGUGGCACACGCCUUAAUCCCAGCACUUGGGAGACAGAGGCAGAGGCAGAUGGAUUUUGAGUUCAAGGCCAGCCUGGUCUACAGAGUGAGUUCCAGGACGCCAGGGCUACACAGAAAAACCCUGUCUUGAAAAACCAAAAAAAAAAAAAAAAAAGAAUGCUUGCUGUGCUGCCCAUGGUGGCGCAUGCCUUUAAUCCCAGCACUCAAGAGGCAGAGGUAGGCAGAUUUCUGAGUUCAAGGCCAACCUGGUCUACAGAGUGAGUUCUAGGACAGCCAGGGCUACCUACACAGAGAAACCCGGUCUUGAAAAAGAAAAACAAAACAUUUGCUGUGCUUACCAGGGACUACAUUCAUUUCUCAGCAACCACAUUGUGCCUCACAACCAUGUAUGACAUCUUCUGCACACACAUGCAACACACAAACUCACGAAGGAAAACACAAGUACACAUAAAUAAAAUUAAUUUAAAAGUCUAUAUAAAUCUUUUAAAAAGACAGAAGGACAAAAAAAGAAAAGAAAGAAAGGAAACUAGCUAGCUAUGUCUACAUGGUUCUGGCUGUACUACUUUGUCUAUGAGUGAGUUCCUUGGUCUGAGUGGCUGCUUGUGUGGAAUGGCAAGCAGGCUUUAAGUUCCUUCAGUGGUUGUAUGGAGUUGUAAGCUUAAAUAAACCUUUCUUUUCCUAAGCUUCCUUUUAUCAGAAUGUUUUAUCACAACAAAAGUGGAAGCAAAACAGCUGUUAGUAUGCCAAGCAACUGGGAGCUGAAAAAAAGUAGGGUCAGCUCUGGGCUGAAGACAAGCAGGGUUAGCUCUGGUUCCAUUUGAUAAAACAGAGGCCAGGCCCAAAUUAGAAGAGAUGAAGGUCAGUCACUGUGUAGUAACAAAGGGACCAAGACAUUAGGGGAUUUUUGUUGCUUUGUUUUUUUUUUUUCAAGACAGGAUCUCACUGUGUAGCUUUGGUAGUUCUGCAACUCACUCUGCAGACGAGGCUGGUCUUGAAAUCAAAGAGCUCUAUCUACCUCCGCCUCCUGAGUGUUGGAUUAAAGGCAUGUGUCACAAUUCCAGGCUCCGCUAAGAGAUUAUAAGAGUUGCAAAUAGAUAUGUACUGAAUGUCAAGGCUAAAAUAAAUACUGCUACACAAAAAGGUCCAGAUAGACCAAGAUAAAAAUGAAAAUGGGUGACUUUGUUCAUUUAGGUUUUUUUUUUUUUUUUUUUUUUGAAUCAGGUUUCUCUGUGUAGCCCUGGCUGUGCUGGAACGUGCUCUUUAAACCAGCCUGGCCUUGAACUCAGGAAUCCACCUACCUCUGCCUCCCAUUUGCUGGAAUUAAAGGCCUAUGCUACUACCACCCAGAUAAUAGUAGGUGAUUUUUAAUAGCUCACUCUCAUCAACAAAUAGGUCAUCUAGAUCCCCUGUCCCAGUACC
rnacentral:lncRNA from 1 species